UACGGGGGGAGCAAGCGUUGUUCGGAUUUACUGGGCGUAAAGGGCGCGUAGGCGGCCACCGCAAGUCGACUGUGAAAUCUCCGGGCUUAACUCGGAAAGGUCAGCCGAUACUGCGGGGCUAGAGUGCAGAAGGGGCAACUGGAAUUCUCGGUGUAGCGGUGAAAUGCGUAGAUAUCGAGAGGAACACCGGUGGCGAAGGCGGGUCUCUGGGCCGAUACUGACGCUGAGGAGCGAAAGCGUGGGGAGCGAACAGG
rnacentral:rRNA from 1 species